rnacentral:rRNA from 1 species
CCUACGGGAGGCAGCAGUGGGGAAUUUUGGACAAUGGGGGCAACCCUGAUCCAGCAAUGCCGCGUGUGUGAAGAAGGCCUUCGGGUUGUAAAGCACUUUUGUCCGGAAAGAAAUCCCCUGGGAUAAUACCUCGGGGGGAUGACGGUACCGGAAGAAUAAGCACCGGCUAACUACGUGCCAGCAGCCGCGGUAAUACGUAGGGUGCGAGCGUUAAUCGGAAUUACUGGGCGUAAAGCGUGCGCAGGCGGUUUUGUAAGACAGGCGUGAAAUCCCCGAGCUCAACUUGGGAAUGGCGCUUGUGACUGCAAGGCUAGAGUAUGUCAGAGGGGGGUAGAAUUCCACGUGUAGCAGUGAAAUGCGUAGAGAUGUGGAGGAAUACCGAUGGCGAAGGCAGCCCCCUGGGACGUCACUGACGCUCAUGCACGAAAGCGUGGGGAGCAAACAGGAUUAGAUACCCUGGUAGUCCACGCCCUAAACGAUGUCAACUAGUUGUU